rnacentral:lncRNA from 1 species
AACAGACCAAUGGAGCGGGGACGUCCAGGGAGGAAGGCGGGGUGGGGGCGGUGGCCAAUGGGCCCACGGCGUGGGCGGGCCGAGGCGCUCCGGAAGCGGGCAGGGGAAAGUGGUGGCCGGCUCGAAGUGGGAGUACGGCGACCUGGGCGGAAAGCGGGACCUGGCGGGUGGGUACUCAGCCGGGCCGGGCCCUCGGAGCUGCAACUGGACUACGUCAAGCAGAAGGUCAACUGCCACGAUUUCUCCAUGGUCGCCCUUUUUUCUGCGGCCACAGUACAGGACAGAUGGAAAGGAUCCAGAGUGCUCUGUGAAUAUGAGAUGCACUAUAUUUUCCAGAAAUUCCUGACUUUAUUGCGGAUGGAAUUUUGGUUUUUUCACCAGUUUUGCUGUGUACUGUGUAAGUUGCUGAUAUCAUUUCUCUUAAAAAGGCUGAUGGUGAGAUUAUCUAGCAGGGUUGAGCAUCUUGUAUGCUCCUGUAUAUAGAGUUUUAGCAUUUCUCAAGAAAGUUGCAUGGAUGUAGUGUCUUUCGGGGUAUGGGCCUUUCCGCAUUGUCCACGGUGUCCCUAGAGCUUUUGCAGGUUGUGGCAGCCCCUCACAGAUUGUGUCAGGGCAUCGCUUAUUUUGUGGGUCUGUACAAGAGUCCGGAGUCCGUGGGAAGGCAGAAGAUGGGAGGUGCCCACAGAAUACAGGACACAGCUGGAAAGAGCAUGAAUUAAGGAAUAGGGCUGAGUAUGGCUUGAAGGUCUGCUUGACACAACUAAGCUGCGUUUAGCAUAAACAAUGAGUUAGAAAAUACUGUGAGUCUUUGUUUUUCUAACUUGGCUAAAUGUAAACAGGGGCCUAAACAUGUAUGCAAGUAGCAAUUGUAUAGGUCAGCACCUUGUUAUCUUUCAAGAGGAACUUAUCUCUGAAAACAGGACGUGUCAAGGUCAUCAAAGCAUGCAGAGCCAGCCUAAACCAGCCUUGUAGCUUUGUCAGCAAGAAUAGAGAAGCAGAUGACUGCAGUUCACCAAAAGAACACAGUGGUGAAGAGGAAUGGAUAAAGUAAACGAUCACCAGAGGUCUUUGAAGACCACCAAGAGACUGAAAUACGCAUAUGGGAGUGGGUGGCAACGUAUGAUAAUGAGUUCUUAGACGAAUAAUGAAUAUGUAUGUUUAACUUUUAUAUAAGCUGUGUAACUAAUCACUUUCGGCACGCACAUUUGAAGGAGCGAUCCCCUGUGCAUCCAGCGCUGCAAUAUAGAAUAUCUGCUUAAUAGUCAUCCUGACUAUUGAGUUCUGUUUUUGGCUUUCGUGGCAUCAAGCAGCUCCCGAGGAGUAGCUACUGCAGGGGAUUCAGGGUUGCGAGUACAGGACAGGAGCUGUUGGGAAGAAGUGGGGUUCCUUCCCUGAGAGUUCAGGAGAAGAGAAGGGGUUUCUAAAGCUUUGGGACUGGGGGAUGACUAGGAAAGGAUGGCAGGUUCAUCAAUCUUUAUUGUAUCAGUUUUGCGUUUGGGUGUUGAUGAGGUCUGGUGUGUUCUAGUCUCUUGCCUUUGAGGUGAGUCAGGUAGUAUUGGGCACAACGGUAAUUUUAUUUCUUGGCAUCUUAGGUGCUAAAAGCAAUGACCGCCACAGGAUCCUGUUUUGGAAUCUGCAUGGAGCUGGUGAGUGGAGAGCUAACGGUGCUUUUGAAGAGGGGGUUUUGUGGAAGAGGUUGGUGUUGAUGGGUGCGAUGCUGGCUGCUGACACUGUUUUGUGCACUGUGUGUUUUUGUUGCAGAUGGUGACUAGGACCCCGGUGACUACAGGAACGUCCCAGCUAGCGGAUGGGGGUCGGUGGUUUUGUGUUGAGGACAGAUGCAGGCCCCUAGCCCUGUGAAAGCUAAGUGGAGGGACCAGGGCUGGGGAGGGAUUGGGAGGAGGAGGGGACAACUUGGCAAUUGUAGGAGGGGUUUUGAAGUUGUGUGGUAUUAGAAAGAACAUGUGCCUGGUGGCUCUGAGUAUACAUGGCAGCUCAGUGAAGUGUUUCUGGUUUUGCAGGCUGUGUGGGCUGCCUUUUGAAAUGGGUGAGUGUUUGAGGUGAGCUGGGUAAUGGAGAGGAGGCACACUGGGCUGGUGAUUUCUUGCACAUUCAAUGGUAUUUUUGUGUCUCUUGGUUUCUUAGGUACCACAAACAGAUUGGCUCUGGAAUCCAUGCAGAGAUUUCUGCCUGGCUUUCAGGGGCACGUUUCCCUGGCAGUCUGGUAGCAUCUCUCUGGUGCAGUGCUGCCAGCCAGAUGUCCCUCUCCCUUGGGUAGGACAGGAAAAAGCCCCCGGUCAAAUGAUGACUGGGCGUUUUGGAGACGGAGAGCACAAUGGUGUCAGUUCAGAGCUGGGCCAGUUAAAUUAGUGCCAAAGGAAAGUCAAACACUUUUAUAGUGUAUUUUUAUUGACUGUAUCUAAACGUACACAGAGCUUUCCAGGGAAAGGGAAGGGAGGAGGCGCUUCCCCCCCACCGGGCAGAGGGGUUUGUUACACUGUUGGGCUGAGAAGGUGUUCCAAGUGGCAUCAGUCAGUCUUAAUAGGGACUUGAAGCGUCGGGAGGGCUCUGGCUUUGGCAGGCUGUGCCGUCUUUGAAGCUGAGCUGUUUCCCCAGAAUCAUCCUGUAGCUCAGCUUCUGUCCUGUCCCUCAGUCUGAGGGAAUUCCUCUACUCUCUCCUCUGUGCUGUUUUGUUUGAUGCUGAACUACAGUUGGGGAUUGUUGUUUUGCAGGUGCUUCGUUGUCCACGUCUCAUGCUGCUUGAUAGCUGCCCCAGCCUGGGUUUGCAGCCAGUGGUGGGCCUGAGGGGAAGGGACCAGCCCUGGGUCUGGGCAUUUGGUGCUGUCUUUUUGCGGUGAAUAAAAAGGUGGGGGGAGGGUAUUUGGAGAGUGAU